rnacentral:lncRNA from 1 species
GAGCUACAGCUGCUGGUCUACGCCACAGCCACAGCAAUGCCAGAUCAGAGCUUUGUCUGCAACCUACACCACAGCUCACGGCAAUGCUGGAUCCUCAACCCACUGAGCGAAGCCAGGGAUCAAACUCUCAACCUUGUAGUUCCUAGUCAGAUUUGUUUCUGCUACGCCAUGAUGGGAACUCUUAUAUUGUUGAACCAGCCAGGCCUUAUGCUGGCUUCCUGUCUUCCUUGGCCUUUCCUUGGCCUUGUUUUCAAUUUCUUGGAAGUGGUGAUCUCCCUCCAGUGUUGGGCCUCUACCCAGAAAAAUCAUACCCUCCUUCCCCAAUCUGUUUAAAUCCUACUCAGCCCUCUGCUCUCAGCUAAAACACUGCUACUUCAAGGGAAGUCUUUCUUUAUCCCCCAACUUUGCUGGGUCACCUUUGUCAAACACUCUCAGCAUCCUGCCCUGUAACUAUCAUCCAGAGUACUCAAUUAUCACAGUGGAAUUUUAUAAUUUCAUCACCAUUUCAUUAACAUCAUUCUCUACCAGAAUGUGGUUUAGAUGAAAAGAGGUCAUGUCUAUUAUUUCUCACCAUUGUUUUCUCACCGUCUCGCACUGUGUCUUACCUUACUAGGAAUUCCGUAAAAAUGUGUUGCACGCGUGAAUGUCCCAGCCUGGCAUAGGUCCAUGCCUGGCCUUUCACCUGAAGCCAUAGAGGUUGGAAUCUAAGGGUAAGUGGAUGAGUCUUUCAGUUUCCCACGGACAAGAGGUGCUGACAUGACUGGGAAGUUGCCCUAUAAAUUAAAGUUUUUAGAGUCUGGGUAUCACUCUAGAUUUUCAAGAUGUAUAAAAUAGCCGGUAGGAGAAUAAAGAGAAUAUGAUAAAAAUUGGACUCGAAGAAAAGGACCCGUCAUUCUUCAUGCCCAUUGGUACGAUAAUGGUUCAUUCACUCAUUUAUAAAUAUUUGUUGCACAUCUACUGUGGCCUGGCAUAUAGUAGUCAUCUGCAGCAAGUGGGAUGCUUCUAGAGGCCAUACAGUAUGACCCACCAUUCUGGAUUUGUAGAUUUCCCAGCUGACAAGAUUUUGUCAGCCUGAUAGUUAAGAGUAUAUUCUUUCUGUGGUCCUGAAUUCAUUUUCUUCCAAAUUCUGAGCAUCUCUCUCCAAUAGCACCUUCAGUCCCAUAAAUGGCACCCUGCUGCACCUCCAGGCUCUACACUCUGAGCAUCAGAGACAAAGGUGAAACUGCCACCCACUCAAACGUCAGACUGAAAACCGCUUCCUUGUAAGUCCUUGCUCAGGGAUUCUCUAGGAGUCUGUGUGGAAUGAGGUUUCCACUGGGGCCACCAAAUUUCCUUGCUCAUGGAAAGAAUUGUGGGAGGGAGGUGGGGGAAUGAAAAGAGGAGAGAAGGCAAGAAGGUGGAAGGCAGGUUUCUUUAUUCCUGACCCAGGUUGAGCUGUCCCCACACCUCUGCUCACUCUUGCAAUUUUGACUCCAAUAAGAAACCUUCCUUUGGAGGGAAGAUGCUCAGAGCAUGUGGCUUUUCUUCAAUGGUCUCAUUUGUCUUCCCUGACUGAGGUGAACAUCUGUUGAACCAAACUGAUAACAAUAGGGGAGCUGUUAUUGACACAGAGCAGGGUUUGUCAUCCAUCCAGAUGCUUAGGAGUGUAGUCUUGGGGAUAGUUCCUGGAUGGUGGGGAAGAAAGAGCCAAGUGGGUAGGCUGGGUGGAAAUCUUAGCUACUCAGCCCAUUAGCUCUGGCUGCUCCCCUUUUUGCUUGUCACUUUCCAUUUGUUUUCCCUUUGUCUUUAGUCAAUUCAUAUUACCCUGCCUUCCUAUCCAGGCGUGAUGUUACCUGGUACCAUUCCAACUCCGAACCUUGCCUGCGUAUUAAUCUUGACAAUGCACCUGUGGUUUCUCUCAUUCUUACUUCAGCUGCUGAUCCAAACGAUCCCAUCUGUGCAAUGUGUUGGUUUGUUUAUAUCAAAAAAAGAGUUGGGAGCAAGGCACACUGAUUCAUGCUUCCAUUGACCACUGGUCAAGGAAAGCAAUUUGUUAGGUAAUUGAUAGGCACUUGAGGGGAGCCACCAAAUUUGUCCUAUGGGCCGUCAGUGUGUGUGUGUGUGUGUGUGUGUGUGUGUGUGUGUUUAUUUCCUGGGACCUGCUCUGUGUACCUUUUCUCUUAGAAAGCAUUUCUCAGUGUGGUGCCCAGAACACCUAAAUUGGAGUCUCCUGGAAGGCUGGGGUUUGGGGGAGGAGGGUGGCGGGCUUGCAGAAAUGCAGAUUCCCAGACCUCCACUCCACAGACUCAGGGAAUGUGAGUAUCUGGGGUGGGGCUUAAGUCUCUGAUUUUAACAACCCCUCAGGUAAUUUUGACAACCACUCGGAUGGAGAAUGGGCUGCAGCAAGAUGUAGAGCUGAGGGGCAGGGGUUUGCCAACCUCAGCAUUCUUGCGUUUUGUGUGGGAUACCUCUUGGCUGUGUGGGACCCUCCUGCGCAUUACAGGAUAUUUAGCAGCAUCCUUGGCCUCUACCCACUAGAUGCCAGUAGCACCCUCUCCCACAGUUACAGCCACCAGGAGUGUAUCUUGACAUUGCCAAGUGGCCCCUGCAGGGCAGAAUCACCCCCAGUUGAGAACCUCCGAUGUAGAGGAGAGAGCAGAGAAGCUGCAGUUGGACCCAAGGAAGUUCAAAUCUGAGCUCUGCACUGACUAGCUGUGAAGCUUUAGGCAAAUUACUUUGCUCCUCUGAGCCUAUAAGAUCUGGGGUGAGGAAAAUGAUAAUGCUGGCCUCACAGCAUUGCUGGGAUGACUACAGGCUGAUGCUCAGUGAGGGCAACCUUGUGUCUUCCCUCCGGGGGAGGCUAACCGCUCUUGAUGGCUGGUGUUUGGGCUAGGUUGGGAGACAGAAAACCUCUGCUUUCUGGGGCCAAGGAGGCAUCAGUUGGCAGAAGAGAAGAAUCAGUAAGUAGACUGAAGGCAGUUGUAGUCUUAGGAAGGAGCACCAGAGAUCAGAGUGGGAGACAAAAGCCGAAGAAGCCCUUGGUCGUGCCCAGGCACCCAGCAUUGACUCCUGCCCCACUGGCUGGGGGCGGGGUCGGGGAGUGGCCAUGAACCCUCGCACUGCCCUGUGUGUGCUCUGCAGGCUUCUGGCAUCCUUGACCCAUUUAGUGGCCCGGUGUGCACUCCCAAGUUGCUGAUGGGCUUGCAGGCCCCUGGUCCCUGCCUGUGCUUCCUCCUACCCACUCCCUUCCCUUGCCCAGCUACAGCCAUGCAGCUGCAGACCUCAGGGUUCCCGGAGCCCCUGGCCUUCUGGCCUGCAGUCUGUGGGGCGCAGGAAGGCUGCAUUGUAAGAGGAGUAUUUUUAGCUGCCCUAGCCCCCAUGCCUAUUUUUAGCUUGGCCGUGCUCAGUGGGAGGGUGGCAAUUGGCUCUUGACUGGCACGCUGCUCUGCCAGUCCAGCCAAGUUGGCUCGGCUUCAGGGGGGAUAAUUACAGUAGUAAAUUCUGGAUUUCUCAGCACAAGCUUCACCAAGGCAGCAGUCAGCACCAUUCAGGGAAGUUCAUUUUCCCUGCCUGGGAUUUGAAACCCUCUGGUACCGUAAUGCUCCAAGACUAAGGAAUAGAAAAGGAGUCUAGGCUUGCAGGAUAUAUUGAAUAGCCAAGAAGGGAGACAGCAUGAAAUGGAGACCCAGACAGAGAGAGACCCAGGGACCCUAGUAAAGAGAGCAGGAGCUAAAUAUGGACACCAGCUGACAAAGACUGAAGUUGGGGAAGGUUUAGUGAUGAAUCUAUGGAGACAGAGGCUUGGACCAAAAGAGUAGAGAGU